AAUCCAUGGUACAAAAAAAAAAAAAAAAUUUCCAAAUCAUAUACAGCAAUCUGAAUUUCAAAUGAAACUUUUUUUUUUUGGUCAAAAAAAUAGUAAAUAAGACAAAGGGAAAUAUUUUAUAAUCAUCAAUAUUGUAAUACCAAUGAAGAAAUAAUGACACUAAAAGAUUAUAUAGCAAAUAACUAAACAAAAAAUGAUUUAUACACUCUUUUAAAAAUAUAAUAGAACUCACCACAGCAAAAUAAUGUGUGUCCAAACUAGUACAAAAGUUUUCGAAAUGAAAAACUAUACUAUGAAAUAUUUAAUGGUAAUAGGGUAAAAAAUAAAAUGAAAUAAAUUAUUAAUUUAAUAGAUUGUUUUAAAAGCUUCAGAUAAAAUUUAGUACCUAUUCCUGAUAAAAUGGUAAAAUAGAAAAAGUAAAGUAUUUUUUCAAUCUGAUAAUGAUGUUGAGUAUUUAUACUAGUUAGAUAAUGAAUAGUUUAUACUAGUUAUCAACAUUAAAAUUAAAAAUUCUAGAAUGUAAAAAUUCUAGAAAAGAAUGUGUUUGAAAAGGGUGUGGUGAAGGUACUAUAAUGGAUUUGCAUAAUAACAAUAUUACUUACUAGUAUUUUAAAAACCCUAGUCAAUGUAAUAAAACAGCCUAAAAAAGAAGAGCUUUAAAAAGUGAAAAUAAGAUACAAGGUAUCAUCAUGUACUGGAAAAAUAUUUUUAGUUUGAAAACCUAAACGAAUCAAUGAAAACAUGAAUAAAUGUAAUGAAUUAGUAAAAAAUUAGAAUAAAAACACUAACAUAAAUCAACAGUAUUUCCAAAUAACAGCAACCAUUAUUUGAAACAUGAAAUUUUAAGAGAUUUACAUUAUAAGAGCAAUAAAAUGUGUAACUCAUAAUAAUACCUAACCAAUGUAUGAGAUAAGAAGAAGAAGAUCACAUUUAGGCAAUACAUGAUAUACAAUCACAUUUAUUUGCAAACACAUAUAUUUGCAAACAUAGGAAAAUAUCAGCCUUAACAAUAAUCAAAUGAAUAUACACUAAAACAAAAAUAAGUUAUAUUUAGAUUUAAUCAACUAUUUAAAAAUUAGGGACAAGGGCUUGCACUCCCAGCUAUUAUAUUUAGAUAUCACCCUCCCCAAAACAAGUAAAGCUGGAUGAAGUCUAACAAACAUGGUUUGAAAGCAUUGGAGAGCUUUAAGUUGGAGAGAAUUCUAGAGGCCAAGAACCCAAAGAGCAGGGACUCCAAGAGAGAUCUCACUUAUCUCACCCACCAUCAGGAGCUAAACAUUACAUUACAUUUAUUCAUAUUUUCAGUGAUUUGUUUAGGUUUCCACUUGAUGAAGAUGUGAUCUUCCAGAGGCUCAAAUUAUCUUAAUGAUUUUCCAUAUAGUGUCUAGUAUUCAGUAAAAUUACCAGACAUAUCCGAAUACAGGAUAAAGUAACCAAAAACAGACCUAGAAUAAAUUCAGAUAUAAGAAUAACAGACUUGGAAAUAUUUGUGAUUAGUAAGUUAAGGAUAUUGGAUAAGAAAAUUAAAAUUUCAGAAGAUUAGUGGUAACUAUAAUAAAGAAACACAUGGAAAUUCCAGAAAUAAAUUGGAAAUUGUAAGAAAUUUAAAAAUCAGUAGGUGGAUAGAAGAGAACGUUAGAAACAGUUGAAGAAUAUACCGAUGAACGGGAAGACAAAGCAAUAGAAAAUUGUGUGCAUUGAAAAUGGUUUUGUAUAUAUGUGGUGACAUAUAAAUCUACAUAAUACUUUUUGGAAAUAAUUUGGUGACAUGAAUCAAUUAUUUGAACAAAAAAAAUGUUUAUGUCUUUUGAACCACUGAUUAUUUUCUGGUGUAUCAAAAAAACAGGGCAUUCUUUCUCUGAGCUACAUCCCCACCCCUGUUUUUUUUUUUUUUUGUUUUGUUUUGUUUUUAAUUUUGAGACAGGGUUUCAUUAAGUUGCUGAGACUGUUCUCAAGCUUGCCAACUUCCCCAGUCACUGGGAUUACAGGCAUGUGCCACCACACCCAACAGACCCAUUAAUCUUAUCAGAAAGUAUCAUAAGGAAGUAAUUUUUUAAAUGUGUAUUUUCUCACUAUCACUAGACAUUUUAAGUGCUUUAUUUCAAUUAAUGCAAUUAAUCCUUAC
rnacentral:lncRNA from 1 species